GCCGGGCGUGGUGGCACACGCCUGUAAUCUCAGUGGUUCAGGAGGCUGAGGCAGGAGAAUUGUGAGUUCAAAGCCAGCCUCAGCAAAAGCAAGGUGCUAAGCAACUCAGUGAGACCCUGUCUCUA
rnacentral:sRNA from 1 species